GUUUCUUUUUUGGGUUCAUCUUCUCGGAUCUUCUUCUUCGUCUUCUAAUACUUCCUCGGACUUCGGCGUUGUCGGCACGAUUUGCGAGAAGCUCGCGUGGCGCUACAGAAAGAGAAGAAGAGACAGAGAUCCCAAAUUCCAUUCUCUCGCUCUCCCUCGUAGUAGUAGAUCCCUCUUCCUCCUUCCUCUUCUUCUCCUUUCCCUUCAUCGCUGAGUCUGUAGACUCAUUCCAUUCCCCAUUCUCGCGCUUCCCGCAACUUGGGUCUCUCUCUCUCGCGGUCUCUCAUUUGUCUCGCAUUGUGGCAUUUUAAGGGAGGGGAGAGAGUCUGCAGGGAGGGGGGCCUUGGUCAGGGAUUACGACGAGGAGGAGGACGAGGAGGGAGGGAGGGAGAGAGGUAUUGAAGUAGUACUACUAGUGCAGCAGCAGGGGCGUGGUGGUGCCGAUCUCGCUGGGAGAUUCGUGUUCCCUGUUGUUGUUGUUGUUGUUGUUGUUCGUGGAUUUGUGUGUCAGGAUUACAUUUUAGUCCAGGCACUUAAGGUAAGCAGGAUGUCGAAAAGCAGCAAAGGUCUAGAUUGGGCGGAUCAGUGGGAUCCAAUUCAGGAUGAUGCCCCUGCUACCAAAAAUCAGGAUGCUUCCAAGUCCUCUAGCAAGGAGAAGAUGGCGAAGGCAAAGGCAGCUGCAAGUGUUGGAAUGAGAAAAACUAAAGCUGCUGCGAUAGUUGGAAUGCAGAAGACGAAAGUUGUUGCUACCAUCGGUGCUCAGAAGCUGAAAGCCGGCACGACUGCCGGAAUGAAAUGGAUUAAGGAGAAAACUCGAAAGAAGUCAUCGCAGUGACCAAAGAGUAAUCAAAAUUCGGGGCCUCGUCUUCAACCCCUGCUUCCCUCUACAAUUUUUUGUCCGAAUGUUUCUGCUACCUCCUGAAGACGCCCGGGAGGCUUGCCCAUGAUCGGGGAUUACACACAAGUCUUCAUUCUUAGGAGGUAGGCUUCACAGUCAAGAUAUUGGUUGUACAGAAAUCGGCAGCAUAGGCGCAAUAAAGUUCCCAGUCGGCACCUUCUGAAUGCAAAAAGUACACAUGAUUGUCUCCCUAUCUUUCGCAUACUCUGCGAUCCUAUUAGAUCAAUCUCAGCAGCUUAUGCACAUCAAGCGUUGUUUAGAUUUCAUUGAUUCUUUAAGAACUAAGUUUUUACAGGGAUGCUAGCACUCCCGAACUCAAUUAAAUCCUCCUCUUCCACGUAGGAAGUCCAGAUUUGGAUGGUAAUGAAAAAGAUUUUUGUUUCUUCUAAUUCCUGUA